rnacentral:rRNA from 1 species
UUAUGCUAAUAAGAGCGUAUGGUGGAUGCCUUGGCACUAAGAGCCGAUGAAAGACGUGAUAAGCUGCGAAAAGCUUCGGGGAGGAGCAAAUAUCCUAUGAUCCGGAGAUCUCUGAAUGGGGAAACCCACCUGAGCAAACCUCAGGUAUCCUAACGCCAAUACAUAACGUUAGGAGGGGAACCCGGUGAACUGAAACAUCUAAGUAGCCGGAGGAAGAGAAAACAACAUGUGAUUCUGGAAGUAGCGGCGAGCGAAACCGGAAGAGCCCAAACCGGAGUGCGUGCACUCCGGGGUUCGGACCGCGGAAUUGAUCCAAAAGACUUAACAGAACGGCCUGGGAAGGCCGGCCAGAGAGGGUGAAAGCCCCGUAAGUGAAAGGUCGAUUGGCAUGGCGGUAUCCAGAGUAGGUCGAGACACGUGGAACCUUGACUGAAUACGCGGGGACCACCCCGUAAGGCUAAAUACUCCUUAGUGACCGAUAGCGCAUAGUACUGUGAAGGAAAGGUGAAAAGGACCCCGGGAGGGGAGUGAAAAAGAACCUGAAACCAUAUGUUUACAAGCUGUGGAACCACUUUAAAUGUGGAACCGCGUACUUUUUGUAGAACGGUCCGGCGAGUUACGCUGGCUGGCGAGGUUAAGUCCUUAAGGGAUGGAGCCGAAGGGAAACCAAGUCUGAAUAGGGCGAAGAGUCAGUCGGAGUAGACCCGAAACCGGGUGACCUAUCCAUGUCCAGGAUGAAGUUGCCGUAAAAGGCAAUGGAGGACCGAACCCACAUCCGUUGAAAAGGGUGGGGAUGAGGUGUGGAUAGCGGAGAAAUUCCAAUCGAACCCGGAGAUAGCUGGUUCUCCUCGAAAUAGCUUUAGGGCUAGCCUCAUACAAGUCUUGCGGAGGUAGAGCACUGAAUUUCCUAGGGGGCGUCAAAGCUUACCGAAGAAUAUCAAACUCCGAAUGCCGCGUAGAUGGUGUAUGGGAGUCAGACUGCACGAGAUAAGUUGGGUAGUCAAAAGGGAAAGAGCCCAGACCUGCAGCUAAGGUCCCAAAAUGUGUGUUAAGUGGAAAAGGAUGUGGGAUUUCGAAGACAACUAGGAUGUUGGCUCAGAAGCAGCCAUACAUUCAAAGAGUGCGUAAUAGCUCACUAGUCGAGAGGUCCUGCGCCGAAAAUGUCCGGGGCUGAAACACACUACCGAAGCUCAGGAAUGUACUUGUACAUUGGUAGAGGAGCAUUGUAUACGGGAAGAAGCAGUACCGAUAAGGAGCUGUGGACUGUAUAGAAGAGAGAAUGCCGGAAUGAGUAGCGAGAGGAAGGUGAGAAUCCUUCCGGCCGAAUAUCUAAGGUUUCCAGAGUAAAGCUGAUCUGCUCUGGGUAAGUCGGGGCCUAAGGCCAGGUCGAAAGACGUAACCGAUGGACAACAGGUUGAAAUUCCUGUACCGCGAUAUAACAGAACUGUGGGGACACGUGUGGAGAGCACAAGCCGGGAAUGGAAAGCCCGGCGCAAGCAAGGUAGGAGUCGUACUGGCAAAUCCGUACGGCAAUCCGAAGAUGUGAUGCGUACCGAAAUAAGAGUAGGGAAGAGUGUGAGCCAUGCGUCAAGAAAAGCCGCUAUUGUUUGUAUCGCGCCCGUACCGUAAACCGACACAGGUGGAUGAGGAGAGAAUCCUAAGGCCGACGGGAGAAGCAUUGUUAAGGAACUCGGCAAAAUGACUCCGUAACUUCGGGAGAAGGAGUGCCACUGAGAGGUGGCCGCAGAGAAUUGGCCCAAGCAACUGUUUAGCAAAAACACAGGUCUAUGCAAAACCGAAAGGUGAAGUAUAUGGGCUGACGCCUGCCCGGUGCUGGAAGGUUAAGGGGAGAGGUUAGCGCAAGCGAAGCUUUGAACUUAAGCCCCAGUAAACGGCGGCCGUAACUAUAACGGUCCUAAGGUAGCGAAAUUCCUUGUCGGGUAAGUUCCGACCCGCACGAAAGGCGUAAUGAUUUGGGCACUGUCUCAACAAUGCACCCGGUGAAAUUGAAAUACCAGUGAAGAUGC